UACGUAGGGUGCAAGCGUUGUCCGGAAUUAUUGGGCGUAAAGAGCUUGUAGGCGGUUUGUCGCGUCUGCUGUGAAAUUCGGGCUCAACCCCGAACUUGCAGUGGGUACGGGCAGACUAGAGUGUGGUAGGGGAGACUGGAAUUCCUGGUGUAGCGGUGAAAUGCGCAGAUAUCAGGAGGAACACCGAUGGCGAAGGCAGGAUCUCU
rnacentral:rRNA from 1 species